AAUCUCAUCGAAACAUUUCUGCACAAACUAAGAAAACUAGUGUAUGGAAAUACUUCUGCUGUAUU
rnacentral:pre_miRNA from 1 species